rnacentral:rRNA from 1 species
AGGGUGACAGCCCCGUACACAAAAAUGCACAUACUGUGAGCUCGAUGAGUAGGGCGGGACACGUGGUAUCCUGUCUGAAUAUGGGGGGACCAUCCUCCAAGGCUAAAUACUCCUGACUGACCGAUAGUGAACCAGUACCGUGAGGGAAAGGCGAAAAGAACCCCGGCGAGGGGAGUGAAAAAGAACCUGAAACCGUGUACGUACAAGCAGUGGGAGCACGCUUAGGCGUGUGACUGCGUACCUUUUGUAUAAUGGGUCAGCGACUUAUAUUCUGUAGCAAGGUUAACCGAAUAGGGGAGCCGAAGGGAAACCGAGUCUUAACUGGGCGUUAAGUUGCAGGGUAUAGACCCGAAACCCGGUGAUCUAGCCAUGGGCAGGUUGAAGGUUGGGUAACACUAACUGGAGGACCGAACCGACUAAUGUUGAAAAAUUAGCGGAUGACUUGUGGCUGGGGGUGAAAGGCCAAUCAAACCGGGAGAUAGCUGGUUCUCCCCGAAAGCUAUUUAGGUAGCGCCUCGUGAAUUCAUCUCCGGGGGUAGAGCACUGUUUCGGCAAGGGGGUCAUCCCGACUUACCAACCCGAUGCAAACUGCGAAUACCGGAGAAUGUUAUCACGGGAGACACACGGCGGGUGCUAACGUCCGUCGUGAAGAGGGAAACAACCCAGACCGCCAGCUAAGGUCCCAAAGUCAUGGUUAAGUGGGAAACGAUGUGGGAAGGCCCAGACAGCCAGGAUGUUGGCUUAGAAGCAGCCAUCAUUUAAAGAAAGCGUAAUAGCUCACUGGUCGAGUCGGCCUGCGCGGAAGAUGUAACGGGGCUAAACCAUGCACCGAAGCUGCGGCAGCGACGCUUAUGCGUUGUUGGGUAGGGGAGCGUUCUGUAAGCCUGUGAAGGUGUGCUGUGAGGUAUGCUGGAGGUAUCAGAAGUGCGAAUGCUGACAUAAGUAACGAUAAAGCGGGUGAAAAGCCCGCUCGCCGGAAGACCAAGGGUUCCUGUCCAACGUUAAUCGGGGCAGGGUGAGUCGACCCCUAAGGCGAGGCCGAAAGGCGUAGUCGAUGGGAAACAGGUUAAUAUUCCUGUACUUGGUGUUACUGCGAAGGGGGGACGGAGAAGGCUAUGUUGGCCGGGCGACGGUUGUCCCGGUUUAAGCGUGUAGGCUGGUUUUCCAGGCAAAUCCGGAAAAUCAAGGCCGAGGCGUGAUGACGAGGCACUACGGUGCUGAAGCAACAAAUGCCCUGCUUCCAGGAAAAGCCUCUAAGCAUCAGGUAACAUCAAAUCGUACCCCAAACCGACACAGGUGGUCAGGUAGAGAAUACCAAGGCGCUUGAGAGAACUCGGGUGAAGGAACUAGGCAAAAUGGUGCCGUAACUUCGGGAGAAGGCACGCUGAUACGUAGGUGAAGCGACUUGCUCGUGGAGCUGAAAUCAGUCGAAGAUACCAGCUGGCUGCAACUGUUUAUUAAAAACACAGCACUGUGCAAACACGAAAGUGGACGUAUACGGUGUGACGCCUGCCCGGUGCCGGAAGGUUAAUUGAUGGGGUUAGCGCAAGCGAAGCUCUUGAUCGAAGCCCCGGUAAACGGCGGCCGUAACUAUAACGGUCCUAAGGUAGCGAAAUUCCUUGUCGGGUAAGUUCCGACCUGCACGAAUGGCGUAAUGAUGGCCAGGCUGUCUCCACCCGAGACUCAGUGAAA